rnacentral:rRNA from 1 species
CACGUAGGGCGCAAGCGUUGUCCGGAAUUAUUGGGCGUAAAGAGCUCGUAGGCGGUUUGUUGCGUCUGCUGUGAAAUCCCGGGGCUUAACCCCGGGCCUGCAGUGGAUACGGGCAGACUAGAGGCAGGCAGGGGAGAAUGGAAUUCCCGGUGUAGCGGUGAAAUGCGCAGAUAUCGGGAGGAACACCGGUGGCGAAGGCGGUUCUCUGGGCCUGUACUGACGCUGAGGAGCGAAAGCGUGGGGAGCGAACAGG